UCUUCUCUCCCAAACCGUAGCUUUGGCCCUUGUGUGUGUGAAGCUAGACGGUCUAGGACUCUUCAUAGAUGCUCCUCAUGUAGCCUUGGACUAGACGCUCCUCAUCAUGGCUAGACGCUCCCUUUGUGAGGCUAGACGCUCCUUGUGAGGCUAGACGCUCCUUUUGGAAGGCUAGACGGUCUUGGUCUUGGAAGCUUGGCUUUCAUAGUGUGGUGAGCUUGGGCCUUCCUCCAU
rnacentral:lncRNA from 1 species